GACGAACGCUGGCGGCGUGCCUAAUACAUGCAAGUUGAGCGCUGAAGGUUGGUACUUGUACCAACUGGAUGAGCAGCGAACGGGUGAGUAACGCGUGGGGAAUCUGCCUUUGAGCGGGGGACAACAUUUGGAAACGAAUGCUAAUACCGCAUAAAAACUUUAAACACAAGUUUUAAGUUUGAAAGAUGCAAUUGCAUCACUCAAAGAUGAUCCCGCGUUGUAUUAGCUAGUUGUUGAGGUAAAGGCUCACCAAGGCGAUGAUACAUAGCCGACCUGAGAGGGUGAUCGGCCACAGUGGGACUGGGACACGGCCCAAACUCCUACGGGAGGCAGCAGUAGGGAAUCUUCGGCAAUGGACGAAAGUCUGACCGAGCAACGCCGCGUGAGUGAAGAAGGUUUUCGGAUCGUAAAACUCUGUUGGUAGAGAAGAACGUUGGUGAGAGUGGAAAGCUCAUCAAGUGACGGUAACUACCCAGAAAGGGACGGCUAACUACGUG
rnacentral:rRNA from 1 species